GUUUAGAGGAGAAACCGGAGCCUUGGAGGAGUUGUCGACUGCUGCUCGGUUAUGCAGCCAGUGGGUGGCAAAGCCCCCUGUUCACGCCCAGGCCUGGCACCUGCAAAGGCCAGACAGCGGUGUCAACACUGCUGGCAGAUUUAAAAUCACCGUCGCAAUACUGAAGCUGGGUCAGGGAGCUGAGCCACACUCUGAGGAAGCCUGACUCUCACUAUGGACUGGUGGCAGCUUCCCCAAAGUCUGGGUUCAGUUCCCAGGAGGAAGUGGCUUCUGAAGAGCACAUUUGGAUGCGGGAGAGUGACAGCGGGAGGGGCACCCCACAGGAAGGAAGCCCCUUGACAGAGGGCUGGCAGAUUAACGCAGCACACAGUCAGACAAGAGGACUCAUGCUGUCACACCCUGAGUGCCCAGUGAAGCUGGAGCUGAACCCCAGGCCAUCCUGUUUCCACUACACCGAUGCUAGCAUUCACAAGGGAAUAGAGCACCAUGACUGGCUUAGACGAAUGACAAUCCCAGCCAAUAAAACUUGACGAGGCGUCUGCUGGGAGCUGCUGGGAAGGUUUUCCUCACCCUUACAAAGGGACAUGAAGAAGAAACACCUCCUCCUCAGGCCAACAUUGUGUGAUGCCUGGAGCUGGGGCAGCAAUUUUGCAACCUCGAGGGAAAUGACUGCCACGGUGAGAAUGGCAAGGCUGAAAGAAAGAACCCAGGUUAUUGGUGACAAUGCUGAGCUUCUGGAUUCACCACCCUGGACAUGCCCUUCCCCUGAUAUUUUUGUGGCCUAUAAAGAUGAAAGCCCUCAUUGUU